GAAAGAUGGUUUUGCUAUCACUUAUAGAUGGACCCGCGCCGUAUUAGCUAGUUGGUAAGGUAACGGCUUACCAAGGCGACGAUACGUAGCCGACCUGAGAGGGUGAUCGGCCACACUGGAACUGAGACACGGUCCAGACUCCUACGGGAGGCAGCAGUAGGGAAUCUUCCGCAAUGGGCGAAAGCCUGACGGAGCAACGCCGCGUGAGUGAUGAAGGGUUUCGGCUCGUAAAACUCUGUUAUUAGGGAAGAACAAAUGUGUAAGUAACUGUGCACGUCUUGACGGUACCUAAUCAGAAAGCCACGGCUAACUACGUGCCAGCAGCCGCGGUAAUACGUAGGUGGCAAGCGUUAUCCGGAAUUAUUGGGCGUAAAGCGCGCGUAGGCGGUUUCUUAAGUCUGAUGUGAAAGCCCACGGCUCAACCGUGGAGGGUCAUUGGAAACUGGGAAACUUGAGUGCAGAAGAGGAAAGUGGAAUUCCAUGUGUAGCGGUGAAAUGCGCAGAGAUAUGGAGGAACACCAGUGGCGAAGGCGACUUUCUGGUCUGUAACUGGCGCUGAUGUGCGAAAGCGUGGGGAUCAAACAGGAUUAGAUACCCUGGUAGUCCACGCCGUAAACGAUGAGUGCUAAGUGUUAGGGGGUUUCCGCCCCUUA
rnacentral:rRNA from 1 species